rnacentral:rRNA from 1 species
AGUGAACGCUGGCGGUAGGCCUAACACAUGCAAGUCGAACGGCAGCACAGUAAGAGCUUGCUCUUACGGGUGGCGAGUGGCGGACGGGUGAGGAAUACAUCGGAAUCUACUUUUUCGUGGGGGAUAACGUAGGGAAACUUACGCUAAUACCGCAUACGACCUACGGGUGAAAGCAGGGGAUCUUCGGACCUUGCGCGAUUGAAUGAGCCGAUGUCGGAUUAGCUAGUUGGCGGGGUAAAGGCCCACCAAGGCGACGAUCCGUAGCUGGUCUGAGAGGAUGAUCAGCCACACUGGAACUGAGACACGGUCCAGACUCCUACGGGAGGCAGCAGUGGGGAAUAUUGGACAAUGGGAGCAAGCCUGAUCCAGCCAUACCGCGUGGGUGAAGAAGGCCUUCGGGUUGUAAAGCCCUUUUGUUGGGAAAGAAAGGCAGCAGGUUAAUACCCCGCUGUUCUGACGGUACCCAAAGAAUAAGCACCGGCUAACUUCGUG